rnacentral:rRNA from 1 species
AUGGACGCAAGUCUGAUGGAGCAACGCCGCGUGAGUGAAGAAGGGUUUCGGCUCGUAAAGCUCUGUUGGUAGUGAAGAAAGAUAGAGGCAGUAACUGGCCUUUAUUUGACGGUAAUUACUUAGAAAGUCACGGCUAACUACGUGCCAGCAGCCGCGGUAAUACGUAGGUGGCAAGCGUUGUCCGGAUUUAUUGGGCGUAAAGCGAGUGCAGGCGGUUCAAUAAGUCUGAUGUGAAAGCCUUCGGCUCAACCGGAGAAUUGCAUCAGAAACUGUUGAACUUGAGUGCAGAAGAGGAGAGUGGAACUCCAUGUGUAGCGGUGGAAUGCGUAGAUAUAUGGAAGAACACCAGUGGCGAAGGCGGCUCUCUGGUCUGCAACUGACGCUGAGGCUCGAAAGCAUGGGUAGCGAACAGGAUUAGAUACCCUGGUAGUCCAUGCCGUAAACGAUGAGUGCUAAGUGUUGGGAGGUUUCCGCCUCUCAGUGCUGCAGCUAACGCAUUAAGCACUCCGCCUGGGGAGUACGACCGCAAGGUUGAAACUCAAAGGAAUUGACGGGGGCCCGCACAAGCGGUGGAGCAUGUGGUUUAAUUCGAAGCAACGCGAAGAACCUUACCA